AUACGGAAGGUCCGGGCGUUAUCCGGAUUUAUUGGGUUUAAAGGGAGCGUAGGCCGUGGAUUAAGUGUGUUGUGAAAUGUAGGCGCUCAACGUCUGACUUGCAGCGCAUACUGGUCCACUUGAGUGCGCACAACGCGGGCGGAAUUUGUCGUGUAGCGGUGAAAUGCUUAGAUAUGACGAAGAACCCCGAUUGCGAAGGCAGCUCGCGGGAGCGCAACUGACGCUGAAGCUCGAAAGUGCGGGUAUCGAACAGGAUUAGAUACCCUGGUAGUCCGCACGGUAAACGAUGGAUGCCCGCUUUUCGGUCAUUAGACCGUGAGGCCAAGUGAAAACAUUAAGCAUCCCACCUGGGGAGUACGCCGGCAACGGUGAAACUCAAAUGAAUUGACGGGG
rnacentral:rRNA from 1 species